AUUUAGAGGCGCGGGGUUUAUCAGUAUCCCGGCGGAGCCGCUGCAGCGGCUGUGAAACCGGAAGAAAGGAAAUCCUGCCGAAGCAAGAACCGCCUGCAUGCGGUUUGCGCUGGGCGGACGGAGAAUAUCCGGCCGACUGUCACAAUCUUGUAUUGUGGAGCGCUAUUGG
rnacentral:ncRNA from 1 species